GCAUACAGGAGUUGCACAAUAUUUCCAGUUUACAUCGGUCUACAGGGCACAACAGUACAGGUGUCUGCAGCAUGUAGAGAAAAAAAUGAGGCAGCUGUGAUGAAAAUUUCUCUAAAGAUGUGGCUUCCAAAAUUCAGUCUUGCCUUUAUCAACAUUUCUUGAGGAGGGAGAUCAAGGUCCCAGUCUAUUUGCAAGAGAUUCCAGCAGGCUUGGCUAAAGGUACAAGUAAAGAACAGAUGCAAGCAUGUUUCUUCUGGCGAAAGAGUGCAGAGGGCACAUGAAUAGCUGUCCAGGUGCAUCCUUUUCCUUUUAAGAAGGUUUCUGGUGCUCAGGCGGUCUCUAACUAGCAACAGGAAGAUGCUUCCCCAAGUGUAUUCCCAGGAGUCAGGACUUCAGGAGUUUCCUGGCUCUCCAGGCUCGAAGUUAGGAGCACAUCUAGUUCAAACAACUGCAGUCAAAUGAACAUCAUUUAGAUUAAUUCCAACCCUCAAUCCCCACUAAAUGAACGAGGCCUACAAGUAUAAACUUGCUAGCAUUUCUAUACUCGCUAAUCUCACGCUCACCUCCAAC